UUGAUUUAACAGACACAGACGCGUUUUUGUUGCGGCUUUGGAAGCGCAAUAAACGAAACUAAAAGCGUGACGCAGAGGACGGCGCCAGCUCCAGCUUACGACUAUGACAACGACAAUAUAUGAACAAACAGGCACAUAUAUACGCAAACAUACAGACAUACAUAUGGUGUCCUUUGUCUGAUUGCCUGUUGUCGUCUAGUCGCUCAAGCGGCACGAGCAACCCCUAAGACGAAGAAAGAAGGGCAACAACUUUUUAUUUGCUGCUGGCAACGUCGCAACGAGUGAGGGAGAAUGCGACCGCGAGGUUGCAACCCAAUACCAAAACCAAAGUCAAACAAAGGUGCGUUUCUUUGAUGGCGGAGAGCGUUUUCUUUUAGCUAAUGGCCUACAAAGACGUUGAAAGGUUAACAGCGACUUGGACAAACAAACAAAGAAAAUGAACAGUCGACUAACGGCACAUCAAGCAGCAUACGAGGUCAGGCUGAUAAGUAAUCGGUCUUAGUAAGCAAUGCACUUUUUUCGAGUGGAAAUCAAUUUAUUUUUCAGCCUAAUCUGUUCGGAGAUCAAUUCACUCUUUCCAAGGAUGCGCUCUAUUCUUUAAAAACCGUUAAAAUAAGCAAAAAAAAAAAGUGAAAACAGCAUUAA